AUUUAGUUUUCCCUUUGUGUAUCACUAUCUUCGUUGCUUACCUUCUUGUGCCUAAAGUUCCACCGGUGUGCAAGGAGAUUAACCACUGAAGUGCACCUGACUGACACUACGCUUGACAAAUUACAGUUGGGAGGAAGCAAUUGGAGGAUGUAUUCGAUGACAGAGUGGAUAGGCGGAGAAUCUGUCGAAGAGAGAAGUGAAAGUGCCAUCCGUAACAACUGUGGGGGAAGAUAUUGGACAGAAGAUAGUGCUAACAUGUACCUCCUAUUCGGAUGGACAGUACGGCAUGUGAAGAUUCACACCGUGAACUUUUGCUCCAAGAACCACUGCAGGAGCAUACUGGGAAAACCUAAAGAAUUCACAGAUCUUUGAAAGAAGCGCGCAUCACUGCAGAUUCCAUGAGACAGAUGAACAACUAUUGAGUUUCCAUAGUCUGAAAGGGGGAAAACCUGCCUUCAAACACAUAUUCUCACUGGGGAAUCUGAAAAUACAGAUCACAAGAAAAGGAUUUAACCUUAUCUAAAGCUGGAAUGGAUUUAGGGAGCUGUGCGAAAUAUAAAAGUAAAAGCAACAAUGGGAAGAACCUUGUAGGUGCUCCCAUUCUUCAGCCUGAGCACAAGGAAGCCAUCCCUGAUUGUAUUUCACAGGAGUCCUCAGGGAAGGCACUCAGCAGAAUUAGGGAAGGGUCACAGGGUCUCAGAAGCUUCUAACUGAAUUUUGCAAUAAUUUUAACUGGGCACUAACUUUUUUGACAGAAUCUGGGGGUGAAUAGGAACUGCUGCAGAUACAAGAGCAGGAGUUACAGCCAACUUUGUUGGCAGAUGGGGAGGGGCAAGGCCUGAAAGCAGUGCUUCCUUGCUAAGUGGGGUAGUUUAUGGCCUGAGGCAAGGUCUGAGUUUCAGGAGAGCAAGUUGCGUGGAUCUAAACUUGGCAUUGUUAGUAGGACAUUGUGGGAGCGAGACCAGCCUUGCCAACUGCGUGGGAGAUGGCUGAGACCUUUUGCUACUAGCUAUUCCCCACCUACCUGGUGAACAAUACUGCUAAGCAGAGUCAGCUGUACUCCUUUCUGGAACAUAACCUCAUUGGUCUGAGAACGACCCUCCCAAUCCCCACAGUGGCAUGGCAAGCCCACCAGAGGAGAGUCUGAGCUCAGACUUUAGAGCUUUAUAGUCCCAUCCAUUGCCUGAGUAACCAGAGUACCUCACCUGGUCAACUUAGGGGAGGCUUAUAUCUGACUACUAAUAACACAGCUGGUGCUCUCUUGAAAGCACCAUCUCCUGGCUGAAGGCCAACCAACUCAGGCCUUUACAGCAACUCAUGACAGAAUGACCCUGCUCCCAGGAAGGAGAAAACAACAGUUAAUACCACCACCUGCUGUAUCCUGGCUAACCAGAGGCCCUGAGUCUGUCCACAUGAAAACUUCACCACCAGCAUAAUCAGCAUUCAAGAAAGCCAGCACACUAAGCCUAUCUGCAACCAAAGACUCUCACAGAAUCUACUUCACUCUCCUGCCACUACCACCAGAGCAGGUGCCGGUAUUCACAGCUGGGAGACCUCAAGACGGACCACAUCACAGGACUCUUUGCAGCCAUUCCUUAGCACCAGCCUGGAGUUUGGUGGCCCCACUGGGUGGUUUGACCCAGAAGAGCAAUAACAAUCACAGCAGUCCAGCUCUCAGGAAGCCCCAUCCCUAGGGGAAGGGGAAGAGCAGCACAUCAAGGGAUCACCCCAUGGAACAAAAGAAUCUGAAAAGCAGGCCUCAAGUUCCAGAUUUUUCCACUAGUGGUUAGUUUCUGACAGCAGAGACACAAUUGCAGUGCUGGGUGCAGUAGGGAAAGUCUGCAUCUCUACCCCAUCAGGCAGGCAGCCUCUGUGAUGGUGAAAAGGCUUGGAGAAGGGGUCCAUGUUCCCCUCUGGCACUCCACCACAGACUCAGCUACACAGCUGGGGCUUCCCUCAGAGGAACACAGCAUGGAGGCACCUAUAGACAAUCUUUCUGGGAAAAUCCAGAGUAAGUGCAACCCCACAGGAGGACCACACUUCAGAUUCAGGCCUGCAUGAGAGGCAGAGUCACAGUUCCUUCUACAUCUGGCUUUCUACCGCAGCAACCUAGACCAAAGCACUUGCCAUCUUUAUUUUUAUUUAACAAAGUAUGAGAUGUGGCACUGCAAUUAUGAAAAGAAACAUGGCCCUCAGGGAAAGCUAAUUAUUAGCUUUCAUAUAUUUUCUGCCAUGGAUUGUAAUCCUCAAGAGGAUAGGGAUUGUACUUGACUUAUUUUUGUCUGCUUGGUGACACACUUGUUAGGACUGGCAUAAUUCUCCUCCUGUCUUAAUAGGGGUAGAUGUAUUUUGGCUCCUGGAUUCUAGCUAUAAUGAUAGACUUGUUAUCUGAAAGGGAAACCUCCCUGUAGACAUUGCCAAAAGGUUUGCCUGAGUUUGCUGAGAUAAUAUGCCAAAUUUUCUGGCACCUGAUUAAGUUCCCUGACCACCUGAAUGUUCAUUCUGCGAACCUCUAAUGUGGGUCUCAUUCUCCUGGACAAGCCUUGCCUUUCUGUCUCUUCCCGUCUGUCUCUCUGUUUUUCAGCCAGGGCGCAGUCCUAACCAGCUGAGUUCUCUGGCCUUACCUCCUUCAGCUCAGACUCCCUGGUGAAAGCUGUUUUGCCUAAUUUUCCAUUAGCUGCCCCUCUGAAUUGCUGACCCAGCAUAAUGGCCGGUUGCUGGGCUGAUGAAGCUUUGCUGCCCCCUUCUGGCGAAUGUUUAGCAAAUGUUUGUAAUGAAUUUUGGAAAUAGAAUUGCAUGCCUUUCCAGAUGCUAGUGUAUAAUGAAAAGCUGCAUUUAAAAAAAUUAAAUACUGCUUAUUGAGACGAUCCUGUGUGGAAGAAAUAUGAGGCACUGCAGAUACAGUGGUGAGUGAAACACACAAAAAUCUGUGCCCUCAUUGAACAGUCGGGAGGAAACAUACAAGACAUACAUAACAGGAAAAAGUAAAUCCAAGAUUACACAAGCAAUAUAGCUGGGAAUGGAGAUAUGGAGUGGGGAAGGGGCAUUUAAAUUUUAGAUAAGGUCAGGGAAGACCUCCCUGAGAUGUAAAGCACAUGAAGGAAGUGGCAAAGAGAACAGUAAACACUGAGGCAACAGGCUGUUGGAAUGUUUGAGGAACAUCAAGCAGGCCAUGUGGCUGCCGCACUGCAGCAGAGUGACUGAGGGAGAGUAGUGCAUAGGCCAGAAAGCUGAGUGUAGACAGGAGGGGGCAGAGCACACAGGGCCAGAUGGGUAAUUUUAUACAUAGGUAUACAUGCAUACAUACAUAUACACAUACACAUACAUAUAUGUAUGUAUACACAGAUGCAGAGACACACACAGAGAUACACAUAGAGACACAUACAUACAUGCAGAGUCAUGCAAAGACACACAGACACGUAAAUGAGACACACACCCACAGAUAAAUGCAGAGAAUAGAGACAGACACACACAGAUACACAUGUACAGUCAUAGACAGGCACAGACAGACACACACACAGAGACAUACACAGAGAAAAGAGACAAAUACAGAGACAUAUACAGAGACAUAUGUACAGAGUCACACACAGAGAUGGGAGCAAACACAGAGAGAGACAAAUAUAUCUGAAUCAGACUGGAAACUAUUGGAGAGUUUUGAAUAGAGGGGAUAUGUGGCAAUGCAUAUUUACACUGAUCACUCUGAAGACUGCAUGAAUAAUAAAUUAUAGGUGUGGCAAGGGACGAGCAGAGAGACAUAUUAGGAGGUGAGGAGUAACACUGACUCGGACCAGCAUGGUAAAAUGGAGGUAGUGAGAUAUGGUCCAGUUCUGGGUGCGUUUUGAAGACAGAAGAUUUGCUGAUGGAUUGAAUGAGGGGUAUAAAAGAGAGGACUCAAGGAUAACUGGAUGGCUGAGCAAUUUAAUAGCUGAAGUCAUGUAUUGAGAUGGAGAAGUCUCUGGGAAGGCCAGGUUGGAGGAGUGAAGGUAGAGAGAACAAAAGUUAUUAUUUGGAAAUGUUUAGUUUGAGAUGCUUGUUGGACAUAUACCAAAGAGGAGAUCAGAGGAGAAAACUAGGGUAGUGAUACAAUGUUUGGCGACACACCCUAAAAAUGGUACUUAGAGUCAUGAAACUGGAUGAGGUCAGAUUAAGAACAUCAGUUCAAUGUGGCAGAAGUUCUUAUCACUUGCAACCUGAACAUGGUUCUGACUUCAGUGCAGCUUCGAGAUUUAAAUGCCCAUUUUGCCAUGUGGUGACUUUAUUGUCCUAUUACUUUUCUCUAUUUGAACUGUUGUAAAACAUAUAGCUCUAGCUGUAUUUAUCUGUUUUUCAUGUGGCAUGACUAUCUGUUAUGAAUUAUAUUCACCUGUUUUUUUCUCCUUAUUUCAUCACAAUUAUAAUAGCUGCUAGCAGCAACAAUUGUGAACACAAUUGCAAAUAAGCACACUUGCAAAUACUGGCAGUGUUAGGGUGUGCUUGUUAUGUCUUCCCAAAUCCUCUUGUUAAACUAAAAAUAUUUCUACAUAACCUUUAAUACUCAGUUUAAAUGUCAUCCCUUCUGCGAAGCCCUUGUCUCUGGGCAGUGCCUACUGCUCCUUUUCCUGUAUUUUCAUCAUGCCUUGUUUAUACCUUUCUUAUAGCCUUUGUCAUGAAACUGAUUAUCAGCUUUUAUAUCUUUUCUGCCAUGGAUUGUAAUCCUCAAGAGGGCAGGGAUUGUACUUUACUUAUUUUUGUCUGCUUGGUAUCACAGUUACUAUCACAUAGUAUGUGCUUGAUAAAUAAAUACCACUAAUGCUAAAUACAAUAAUGAACUUUUCAUUUGGGUCACUUUUAUGUUGAAUAAAUUAAAAUUAUAUAAUUUUAUAAAUAUCUUAAUUUCUAGAUACUUCCAAAUAAAGCAAGAAAAGGGCUCUCUAUUCCUCUCUGGGCUAUGUAAAUGGCUGCCUAGGUUUUUAUUUUGUUUGACAUUAAUUUAGAUGGCCAAAGAAGAUUCUGUCUGAAGAGCUGUCGGACUUCAUUCCCCACUGCUGCUCUUUGGCAAGUCUCACAUCAAAGGGCUGUUUGGAAGUUUAUCCGUGUUGAGACUUUCUGGCUUCUUGUACUAGUUUGGAAUGAAAACCUAUUCUGGAGAUUUACUGUGUGGUUCCCUGGUAUGGGUCGAAACUUUUUAUCAGGAAUUAUUAACCCCAGGCCUAUUCCUAGGCAAAUGUUUGCCCAUGAAUUUUGGUCCUUUAUGUGUUUUGUUCUAAUCCAGCUUAAAUGUUGUUUCCAUUAGCUAUAUUACUUUAUAAACCUUUAUUUAGCUGUUAACUAAUUUUCCAUAUAGGAAAGUGUUUUGGAGCCUCCCUGUUCCAAGAAGUCCAGAUAGAAAAUGACAGCCAUUCAAGCUUCUAAUUAGGCAAAAGAUCUUUAAAGAAAUAUCUACUAAAUAUUUCCUAUGUGCCAAUUGUUUUGAGUGCUAGAGACACAGUACUGUGUCCAAUAAAGUUCUUGUCUCACAGAGCAUACUCUUUAGUGAAGAGAUGACCGGUAAUAAACAUUAAAUAAACAAGUAUGAUAAUUUCAGAUAAUGAUAUGCUACAAAGUAAAUACAACCGGAUGUGAGAAAAAAAGGUGUGAAAGGGUGACUCACAACUGAGUGUAUGGGUGCCAAAGCAUUGUGCCUACUUAAUGUGUCAGCACAGGCAUAUGCUACAACGUGGAUGAACCUCCCUGUUCCAGCUGUUGGAUUCUUCUCAGAGGUCCCAGUGUUUUGGUUCAUCUCCACCAUACUCUUCUGAAUUUAUUCUCUGAAACGUUUCUGUGUUCUGUGUUGGGUUCUGUACCCUGGAAGGCUGAUGUCCACAGACCAUUACCUGGGUUCUCUGUCCUAUGGCUUCCGGUUGGAUUCUACAAGCAUUGGCUGGUGAUCAGAGGGUGGAAGGAAAAAGAGGUUGAGAUCUUUUCUCCUCUCUCUCCCUCCAUGACUACAGCAUAGUGUGGCAGCCCUGCAUUACUUGACAGCCAUAGCUCCUGGCAGAUGGCACAUCUUCUUUGCUGCUUCAAGACUAAGGGUGAUAAUAGUGUGAAGCUAUAAUAAUCACACUACUCACACCUCUAUAAAUAGGACCUUCAUUUAAGUUUCUUCUCCGAAGCCCUUUCGUGUGUGGCUUCUAUUUCCUGCCAGGAACAUGAAUGAUACAGCAGGAAUGUUAAAGAAUAAUCACCCAUGUAGACAGAUCCUCUCUCAGUCCAUUUCCAGUUUCUCAGAUAUUCUAGCCCUGUCUCUUUCACAUUAGAGGUAUUUAUAUAUAUUUUGCUAUUCAUGAUGAAAAUCUUGGAAAGAUCUACUCUGGGGGCUCCAGAGCCUCUGAAAAAUAGUAUCACACAGACCUGAUCCCUUCUUUAAGGUUGUUUUUACCUAUAAUUUGGUUUAAUAAGCCCACACUAUUAUUGCUAUGCAUAGCAGUUUUUUCAGGUGAUACUGUGAAAACUAAAUCAAAAGGUUUAUACUUCAAGGUAUGGAAAAUCUCUUUAUAUUAAAUGGAAAAGUAAUAUUUUUGGUGAAAUAAAGGCUUAAUGAUUUAAACAAUGUGACUCCUACUGUAACUCUUAAUAGUGAAAGUGUAUUUGCUGCAUUAUUUACUCAGUGGGGUAAGAGUGCAUCUAAUUUAUUUUAUCUGCGAAUAUAUUGAACUCUGGCUCACCUCUAUGGUUAUCAAAAAUCAUAUCCUCUUGCAUCCAAGAAAUUAAAAGUAAUCUAACACAAUAUUCUAAAUAAUAAAAGAUUAAUCUCUACCAUAAAAUCCUCAAUAAAUGGCUUUCCAGUUUUUGCUAUAAUGUUUUCAGUUUGUGAGAUCUCAUCAUGCCACCUUAAAAGGUCAUCCAUUCCAUUUACAUCACCUUUAAGUAUUAGAAAGUAUUAUUGAUCUCAAAUCAACCUCUCCAUAACUUCCUUUUUCUCCCAAUUUUUCUUAUUGUGAUAAAAUACACAUAACAUAAAAUUUACUAUCUUAACCAUUUUAAGUGUACAGGGCAGUAAUAUUAAGUAUGUUCAUAUUGUCAUGCUAUCAUCACCAGCAUCUAUCUCUAGAACUCUUUUUAACUUGCACAACUGAAACUAUAC